rnacentral:misc_RNA from 1 species
GUGGGACUCUAGGAGGGUGGUAGGACGGGUGGUUGCAAUGACACGAGUAUAAUGCAAUUGUUUCUAGUGAUGUUGCUGUUGGUAGGGUGCGUCCCAACAGUUUGGGUAUGUCUAGAUGGUCCCCUCACCGCCACGGCGAAGUUGGAUGUUGAUGCUGGAAUAUUGGGUGAUGGGAAGAUUAGUUUUUGGGUUCUUUUUAAAAAUGAUAAAGAGGAGGUUGUUUGUGCUCCAAAGUGUGUCAUUGUUACAUGGCCCAGAGGUGGGCUGAAGCUUAUUCUUUGGCAUAUGAACUGCAACUGGCUUCAGAUUUGUGUUUUGUCUAUUAUUGCCGAGUCUAAUUGUUAGGUUAAUAUCUGUAAGCUGCCGAGUGGAGAGAAUUUGGAGAAUGCUUUGGGAAUGGCCUUGGCUAACCGCUGGUAUUUUGGUGGUCAGUUAUCUUCUUAUGUUUGGUCUUUCAUUCCAGGAGAUGGUAAUAGGUGCACAUGCUUUAACAAGUAUUGUAUAGGUGAUGUCUCUGAAUUUGCUUGGAUUGAGGAAGCACCUGAUA